rnacentral:lncRNA from 1 species
UUUUUUUUUUUUUUUUUUUUUUUUUUUUUUUUUUUUUUUGAGAGAUAGGUAGCAUGUUACCCGUAUCGUUUAUUUAAUUUAGAAAUAAACUUAGUUAAAAAUGUGAAUCAACUAGGAUUUGAAUUUGGGACCUCGGGUACCAACUACCAAAUCCUUUGCCAUUUGCAUUAGGUAUCAGCAUAUUUGAUAGCUGCCAACUGAGCCUUAACAUGAGCGAGUUUGGGUCUCAGCAGCUUGAGAUUGGCUCGAAUCUAAUUUUAAGCCGGCUCGUGCUCGGCUCGUCUGUUGACAAGUUGAAGACGAGUGAGCUAGUGACAUCUCCGAGAUUGGCUUAAAAAUUAUUGGGUAACCUUCAAAUACCAUUCCUAUAGUUUUGUACUUUCUCACUUUAGUAUCUUGUAAUUUAAAGUGUAUCAAUUCAGUAUUUGAUUUAAAGUGUAUCAAUUUAAUAUUUUGUGGUUUUUUUUUUUUUUUUCGUCAGCUCUUUGGUUAACAUUUUAUUAAAUCAUAUAUAAAAAAUUUUAGAUACUUCACCUAUUUAUUGAAUAUUCACUUUAGUAUUUUUUAGUUUUAACUUUGCCAUUAAUUUAACGAAAAAAAUUAGUGGAGGGAAUAAUGAAAAGAGAAAAAUGAAAUCACGGGAUACUAAAUUGAUACACUUUAAAUUACAGAGUAUUAAAAUAAAAAAGUGCGAAAUCACUAGGGUGGUAUUUAAAUGAAAACGAAGUGUUGGGUUUAGAUUAAUUUGAGUUGGUUUGAAAUUAUUUCGAGCUAGCUUGAAUUAAAUUUUAAUAGAAGUAUUAUUAUUAUUAUAAUUAGUGUUAUUGCUAAUUUAAAUUUUUGUUUUUAGUAUUACUAAUUAGUAUUAAAAUUUAAAAGUCAUGCUAACCAAAAAUAAAAAUUUAGAAACAGCAUUCAAAUUUGCUGAAUGUCAAUAUAAAAAUUAUAUAUAUAGUAAGACUACUGUACUCUUAUACGUAUAGAGCUUAUUAUAUUCAUAAAUUAUUAUCGAUAAUAGAGCUUUCGAAUCGACGAUCGUGCUAUGAGCAGAAUUCUCUAGCCGUUGAUCAGGUCAAAUAUCUCUUUUGGGAUGCGUGUAAGGAAUUGAUGCAGCUUGACGUGAUGACCUUCGAAGUCUGCGCUUUUCGACUGAUCAAGCGAUUCGACUGAUGAGGGAUCGGAUCAGCCGAGUUCGAAACCUUCUACUACAGAAUCGGUUCGGUUGAAUGAGCCGAAUAGAAUAUUACACUGUUUUGAGUCGGCUGAUGAGCCGAAUAGCCUUUAUAUAUUAAAACUUAAAGUUGGAAACUCGUAUAAAAGAGAGUGUGCCUGUAAGGCAUAUAGACUCUAGAAAUCUAAAUUAAAGACGACUAGAAAAGGCUAAAUGCAGGAAAAGAAAGAUAACAUAUAGACUACUCCUAGAAAAG